AUUGAACGCUGGCGGCAUGCCUUACACAUGCAAGUCGAACGGUAACAGGUCUUCGGAUGCUGACGAGUGGCGAACGGGUGAGUAAUACAUCGGAACGUGCCCGAGAGUGGGGGAUAACGAAGCGAAAGCUUUGCUAAUACCGCAUACGAUCUCAGGAUGAAAGCAGGGGACCGCAAGGCCUUGCGCUCACGGAGCGGCCGAUGGCAGAUUAGGUAGUUGGUGGGGUAAAGGCUUACCAAGCCUACGAUCUGUAGCUGGUCUGAGAGGACGACCAGCCGCACUGGGACUGAGACACGGCCCAGACUCCUACGGGAGGCAGCAGUGGGGAAUUUUGGACAAAGGGCGCAAGCCUGAUCCAGCCAUGCCGCGUGCAGGAUGAAGGCCUUCGGGUUGUAAACUGCUUUUGUACGGAACGAAAAGCUCUGGGUUAAUACCCUGGGGUCAUGACGGUACCGUAAGAAUAAGCACCGGCUAACUACGUGCCAGCAGCCGCGGUAAGAC
rnacentral:rRNA from 1 species